rnacentral:rRNA from 1 species
AAUGAACGUUGGCGGCGUGGAUUAGGCAUGCAAGUCGAGCGAGAACCCCGCAAGGGGGGACAGCGGCGCAAGGGACAGUAAUGUGUAGAUCAUCUGCGCUCAGGUCCGGGAUAGCUGCGGGAAACUGCAGGUAAUACCGGAUAACAUCUCCGGAUCAAAGGUGUGAUUCCGCCUGAGGAUGAGUCUGCAUCCUAUUAGCUAGUUGGCAGGGUAACGGCCUACCAAGGCAUUGAUGGGUAGCGGGUGUGAGAGCACGACCCGCGUCAUUGGGACUGAGACACUGCCCAGACACCUACGGGUGGCUGCAGUCGAGAAUCUUCGGCAAUGGGCGCAAGCCUGACCGAGCGACGCCGCGUGUGGGAUGAAGGCCUUCGGGUUGUAAACCACUGUCAGAGGGGAUGAAAUGCAGGUGGGUUCUCCCAUCUGUUUGACAUAGCCUCAGAGGAAGGACGGGCUAAGUUCGUGCCAGCAGCCGCAGUAACAC